rnacentral:rRNA from 1 species
ACGCUCGACACCUACAGGAGGCAGCAGUGGGGAAUAUUGCACAAUGGGGGAAACCCUGAUGCAGCGACGCCGCGUGGAGGAAGAAGGUCUUCGGAUUGUAAACUCCUGUUGUUGGGGAAAAAGAGGAUGGUACCCAACAAGGAAGUGACGGCUAACUACGUGCAAGCAGCCGCGGUAAUCUGAGCGGGCUGGCAAGGC